GAUCAUGGCUCAGGAUGAACGCUGGCGGCGUGCCUAACACAUGCAAGUCGAACGGUGAAGGCGCCUUCGGGCGCGAAUGAAGUGGCGAACGGGUGAGUAACACGUGACCAACCUGCCCCGCGCACCGGGACAGCCCCCCGAAAGGGGGAUUAAUACCGGAUGCGCCGCGGCCCCCGCAUGGGGGCCGCGGGAAAGCCCAGGCGGCGCGGGAUGGGGUCGCGGCCCAUCAGGUAGUAGGUCGGGUAGCGGCCGACCUAGCCGACGACGGGUAGCCGGGUUGAGAGACCGACCGGCCACAUUGGGACUGAGAUACGGCCCAGACUCCUACGGGAGGCAGCAGUGGGGAAUAUUGCGCAAUGGGGGCAACCCUGACGCGGCAACGCCGCGUGCGGGACGAAGGCACUCGUGUCGUAAACCGCUUUCAGCAGGGAAGACAUCGACGGUACCUGCAGAAGAAGCCCCGGCUAACUACGUGCCAGCCGCCGC
rnacentral:rRNA from 1 species